GAUGAACGCUGGCGGCGUGCUUAACACAUGCAAGUCGAACGGGAAAUAUUUCAUUGAGACUUCGGUGGAUUUGAUCUAUUUCUAGUGGCGGACGGGUGAGUAACGCGUGGGUAACCUGCCUUAUACAGGGGGAUAACAGUCAGAAAUGGCUGCUAAUACCGCAUAAGCGCACAGAGCUGCAUGGCUCGGUGUGAAAAACUCCGGUGGUAUAAGAUGGACCCGCGUUGGAUUAGCUUGUUGGUGGGGUAACGGCCCACCAAGGCGACGAUCCAUAGCCGGCCUGAGAGGGUGAACGGCCACAUUGGGACUGAGACACGGCCCAGACUCCUACGGGAGGCAGCAGUGGGGAAUAUUGCACAAUGGGGGAAACCCUGAUGCAGCGACGCCGCGUGAAGGAAGAAGUAUCUCGGUAUGUAAACUUCUAUCAGCAGGGAAGAUAGUGACGGU
rnacentral:rRNA from 1 species